rnacentral:rRNA from 1 species
GUAGGGAAUAUUGCACAAUGGAGGAAACUCUGAUGCAGCGACGCCGCGUGAGUGAUGAAGGCCUUCGGGUCGUAAAGCUCUGUCGCAGGGGAAUAACACAAUGAAGGUACCCUGUAAGAAAGGAUCGGCUAACUUCGUGCCAGCAGCCGCGGUAAGACGAGGGAUCCUAGCGUUGUUCGGAAUCAUUGGGCGUAAAGCGGAUGUAGGUGGCUAUGUAAGUCAGAUGUGAAAGCCUGGGGCUCAACCCCAGAAGUGCAUUUGAUACUGCGUAGCUUGAGUGUCGGAGAGGUUACUAGAGUUGUUGGUGUAGUGGUGAAAUACGUAGAUAUCAACAGGAAUACCGGAGGCGAAGGCGGGUAACUGGCCGAACACUGACACUGAGAUCCGAAAGCGUGGGGAUCAAACAGGAUUAGAAACCCCUGUAGUCC